rnacentral:rRNA from 1 species
GCUGAACCCUUUCUUCUUGCUUAACACAUGCAAGUCGAACGGAAAGGCCCUGCUUUUGUGGGGUGCUCGCGUGGCGAACGGGUGUGUAACACGUGAGUAACCUGCCCUUGACUUUGGGAUAACUUCAGGCAACUGGGGCUAAUACAGGAUAGGAGCUCCUGCUGCAUGGUGGGGGUUGGAAAGUUUCGGCGGUUGGGGAUGGACUCGCGGCUUAUCAGCUUGUUGGUGGGGUAGUGGCUUACCAAGGCUUUGACGGGUAGCCGGCCUGAGAGGGUGACCGGCCACAUUGGGACUGAGAGACGGCCCAGACUCCUACGGGAGGCAGCAGUGGGGAAUAUUGCACAAUGGGCGGAAGCCUGAUGCAGCAACGCCGCGUGCGGGAUGACGGCCUUCGGGUUGUAAACCGCUUUCGCCUGUGACGAAGCGUGAGUGACGGUAAUGGGUAAAGAAGCACCGGCUAACUACGUG